AUUGAACGCUGGCGGCAGGCCUAACACAUGCAAGUCGAGCGAGAGGCGGACGGGUGAGUAAUGUCUGGGAAACCGCCUGAUGGAGGGGGAUAACCACUGGAAAAGGUAGCUAAUACCGCAUACCAUCAGAUGUGCCCCGAUGGGAUUAGCUAGUUGGUGGGGUAACGGCCAAACUAGGCGACGAUCCCUAGCUGGUCUGAGAGGAGGACCAGCCAAACUGGAACUGAGACACGGCCAAGACUCCUACGGGAGGCAGCAGUGGGGAAUAUUGCACAAUGGGCGCAAGCCUGAUGCAGCCAUGCCGCGUUUGUGAUGAAGGCCUUCGGGUUGUAAAGCACUUUCGGCGGGAAGGCGUUACCCGCAGAAGAAGCACCGGCUAACUCCGUGCCAGCAGCCGCGGUAAUUC
rnacentral:rRNA from 1 species